UCUGACCUUAAAUAUCACAAAUAAAAGCACAUGUAUUCCAGAGACAGCUCUAUGAUGCUGACUGAACUUCUUAACAGUCUGGGUACAAACAGAUCGAAUAAAGUGUUGUAUUGCUGAUUAUGUUCAGAGACCCAAAGACGUCAUCUUUACCACGGCACGAAGAGCACGUUUUUGGUGAAGAAAUGACAGAAGAUUCUGAAAGCCUAAGAAUAAAAUAAACCAUUGAACAGAUAACUGAAAUGUUUAUUACAGCUAAGGAUGCACUGUGAAAAAUGGUAAAAACAACUUAAAAAGGCAUGAGCGGGAAACAUAAAUCACAGCAAAAGGUGUGAUUUUAUUCAGUCUUUCAUUAUCUGUGCCUGUGACUCUCAUGGCUUCAUGUUCCUUAAUAAUCACAGCAUGCAGAAGUUAAUUUCAGCACCACCAUGAUCCUCAUUUUAUCAAUAAACAUGAUCAAUUUAUAUUCAAGAGAUAAGAAAUUCUUUAAUAGCAAAAGACAAGUCGUUCCCCUGGUGAAAUUGCUUUAAAAUAAAUUGUGAAUGUUUUUCUCUUAGUCAAUGCUCUUCUCAGUAAACAGUCUUACUAAAGAUAAAAGACGGUUUGGCUGCCAAUUUGGAUAUUUAAAAAAUGUCAGCGUUUCCAUGACAACCAACCCACAUCUCUUAAAAGCGCUUUCUUUGAGCCUCAGUACAUACCGAAUAUCUCUGAUCUCCAUUCAGACGGACAAUUAUUAAUUCCUUGACUCAAAUUUUUGUCUUUGGAAAAAUCAAGAUCAAAAUAUAAGGUCUUGAAGGAUUAUUCACAAUUAAGCCCAUGAUUAUCAGGUAUACAAAAAAAUUUUUUUGUUCUGGACAAAUCAUUCAAGUGUUAUAAAUACUGACAGAAAAAAACAAACAUAUUUUUUCUUUCAUCAAGCGCACAGUAAGAACAGUCACAAUACCUCAAAAACAAAAGGGAAGAUUCUUUGUGCUGUGUUCAGUCCAAUACAAAACGAAAACCCAAAGAAAUAAACGUAAAAAAUCCCUAAUAUGGCUGAUGGACUAAAAAA